AGGCACGCUUGACGUAACUGGGCCUGACGCGAUCUUGGCUGUGCCUAGGCCCACACUUCCAGUCUCGGAGAAGAAAAGAUUCAUCAUGAUUUUGUUUCGGAAGUUGAUUGGCUUCAUAAAAUACUGCUUGACAGUAGACCCCCACAACACUCCUCUGCUCUUCAUUUGACUGUGAAGGUUAUACUUGAAAAAUAUCCUUCCCGUUAUUCGUGUGGCAGGUGUGGAGGUGUGUGGCUUCAUGUUCCAAAGCCGCGACACACAUACGUACGUGCUUUCAGCGACGUUCAGCAGGGAGGUGUGCUUAUCGCCUCCCUCCAAGACAGGAAAAGGGCCAGUAUCAGGUGGUUGC